ACGGGAGGCAGCAGUGGGGAAUAUUGGACAAUGGGGGCAACCCUGAUCCAGCGACGCCGCGUGAGUGAAGAAGUAUUUCGGUAUGUAAAGCUCUAUCAGCAGGGAAGAUGAUGACGGUACCUGACUAAGAAGCCCCGGCUAACUACGUGCCAGCAGCCGCGGUAAUACGUAGGGGGCAAGCGUUAUCCGGAUUUACUGGGUGUAAAGGGAGCGUAGGCGGUCAGACAAGUCAGAUGUGAAAGCCCGGGGCUCAACUCCGGGACUGCAUUUGAAACUGUAGGACUAGAGUACUGGAGAGGCAAGCGGAAUUCCUAGUGUAGCGGUGAAAUGCGUAGAUAUUAGGAGGAACACCAGUGGCGAAGGCGGCUUACUGGACUGUAACUGACGUUGAGGCUCGAAAGCGUGGGGAGCAAACAGGAUUAGAUACCCUGGUA
rnacentral:rRNA from 1 species